CGGGAGGCAGCAGUGGGGAAUAUUGCACAAUGGGCGCAAGCCUGAUGCAGCCAUGCCGCGUGUGUGAAGAAGGCCUUCGGGUUGUAAAGCACUUUCAGUCGUGAGGAAGGUAGUGUAGUUAAUAGCUGCAUUAUUUGACGUUAGCGACAGAAGAAGCACCGGCUAACUCCGUGCCAGCAGCCGCGGUAAUACGGAGGGUGCGAGCGUUAAUCGGAAUUACUGGGCGUAAAGCGCAUGCAGGUGGUUUGUUAAGUCAGAUGUGAAAGCCCGGGGCUCAACCUCGGAAUAGCAUUUGAAACUGGCAGACUAGAGUACUGUAGAGGGGGGUAGAAUUUCAGGUGUAGCGGUGAAAUGCGUAGAGAUCUGAAGGAAUACCGGUGGCGAAGGCGGCCCCCUGGACAGAUACUGACACUC
rnacentral:rRNA from 1 species